GGCUAGUUAGCUCAGUUGGUCAGAGCGUGGUGCUAAUAGCGCCAAGGUCAUGGGUUCAAUGUUCCUACUGGGCA
rnacentral:tRNA from 1 species